rnacentral:rRNA from 1 species
ACGAACGCUGGCGGCGUGCUUAACACAUGCCAGUCGGACGGAAAGGCCCUGCUUUUGUGGGGUGCUCGAGUGGCGAACGGGUGAGUAACACGUGAGUAACCUGCCCUUGACUUUGGGAUAACUUCAGGAAACUGGGGCUAAUACCGGAUAGGAGCUCCUGCUGCAUGGUGGGGGUUGGAAAGUUUCGGCGGUUGGGGAUGGACUCGCGGCUUAUCAGCUUGUUGGUGGGGUAGUGGCUUACCAAGGCUUUGACGGGUAGCCGGCCUGAGAGGGUGACCGGCCACAUUGGGACUGAGAUACGGCCCAGACUCCUACGGGAGGCAGCAGUGGGGAAUAUUGCACAAUGGGCGGAAGCCUGAUGCAGCAACGCCGCGUGCGGGAUGACGGCCUUCGGGUUGUAAACCGCUUUCGCCUGUGACGAAGCGUGAGUGACGGUAAUGGGUAAAGAAGCACCGGCUAACUACGUG